rnacentral:snoRNA from 1 species
UCCCUCCAGAUUCCUUAGCCAUCAAACCUAAACGGUGAUCUGAGUGGCUUAAAGACAAAAGGAGGAAAGGGAAACUGGAAUGGACUUGGAGUCUUGUGACAAACUAGUUCACUUCAGACAAAC